ACUUUAAAGUUCAUAUGGAACAAAAAAAGAGCCCACAUUGCCAAGACAAUCCUAAGCAAAAAGAACAAAGCUGGAGGCAGCACGCUACCUGACUUCAAACUAUAGUACAAGACUACAGUAACCAAAACAGCAUGGUAGUGGUACCAAAACAGAUAUAUAGACAAAUGGAACAGAACAGAGGCCGCAGAAAUAACACCACACAUCUACAACCAUCUGAUCUUUGACAAACCUGACAAAAACAAGCAUGGGGAAAGGAUUUCCUGUUUAAUAAAUGGUGCUGGGAAAACUGGCUA
rnacentral:lncRNA from 1 species